AAUCUGGAUUCUGAAAAAUCAUAGAAUUUUACAAUUGCCAAGUUGUAAACAAUCAAAUUUUUUAUAUAAAGGAGUGAAAGAGUCAAUCAAAUACCCUCUCACCCAUCUUAAAUAAAUGAACUACAAACUAUUAUUUGCUAUAAUUUUGGUCAUGAUGGCAUUAUUAAGUGUUAUGAUUAAAGCUAUUGAGGAACAUACUCCAAUGAGUAUGGGCAUAAAAUGUAUGGAAGAGGAGUGUGACCUUUUGUGAGACGCAAUUUGGUUUGUCAUUAUGGAUACCGACGUUUUAAUUAUUGCUUUUAUUGCUCUUGCGAAUCAAUCGGCUCAAUCGGUGGGUGAAUGCAUUAAUAUCGAAUUUACGGAUAAUAAAUAUAUUAUUUUAACAAAUUAUUUAAAUGUAAAAUUUGCGCAAUAAUUAAAAAAAAAUGUUUGAUAUCCUAUUAUUUUUUUGUAAUUAUAAUGAAAAAACCCUAUAAGAGAUUAAAAAGAAUUUAUUUGUGAAA